UGAACGCUGGCGGCGUGCUUAACACAUGCAAGUCGAGCGAAGCGGUUUCGAUGAAGUUUUCGGAUGGAUUUGAAAUCGACUUAGCGGCGGACGGGUGAGUAACGCGUGGGUAACCUGCCUUACACUGGGGGAUAACAGUUAGAAAUGACUGCUAAUACCGCAUAAGCGCACAGGGCCGCAUGGUCUGGUGUGAAAAACUCCGGUGGUGUAAGAUGGACCCGCGUCUGAUUAGGUAGUUGGUGGGGUAACGGCCCACCAAGCCGACGAUCAGUAGCCGACCUGAGAGGGUGACCGGCCACAUUGGGACUGAGACACGGCCCAAACUCCUACGGGAGGCAGCAGUGGGGAAUAUUGGACAAUGGGCGAAAGCCUGAUCCAGCGACGCCGCGUGAGUGAAGAAGUAUUUCGGUAUGUAAAGCUCUAUCAGCAGGGAAGAAAAUGACGGUACCUGACUAAGAAGCCCCGGCUAACUACGUGCCAGCAGCCGCGGUAAUACGUAGGGGGCAAGCGUUAUCCGGAUUUACUGGGUGUAAAGGGAGCGUAGACGGUUAAGCAAGUCUGAAGUGAAAGCCCGGGGCUCAACCCCGGUACUGCUUUGGAAACUGUUUGACUUGAGUGCAGGAGAGGUAAGUGGAAUUCCUAGUGUAGCGGUGAAAUGCGUAGAUAUUAGGAGGAACACCAGUGGCGAAGGCGGCUUACUGGACUGUAACUGACGUUGA
rnacentral:rRNA from 1 species